ACCACCCAGGGCCGGAAAGUUGGUCAAACCCGGUCAUUUAGAGGAAGUAAAAGUCGUAACAAGGUCUCCGUAGGUGAACCUGCGGAGGGAUCAUUACAAGAACGCCCGGGCUUCGGCCUGGUUAUUCAUAACCCUUUGUUGUCCGACUCUGUUGCCUCCGGGGCGACCCUGCCUUCGGGCGGGGGCUCCGGGUGGACACUUCAAACUCUUGCGUAACUUUGCAGUCUGAGUAAACUUAAUUAAUAAAUUAAAACUUUUAACAACGGAUCUCUUGGUUCUGGCAUCGAUGAAGAACGCAGCGAAAUGCGAUAAGUAAUGUGAAUUGCAGAAUUCAGUGAAUCAUCGAAUCUUUGAACGCACAUUGCGCCCCCUGGUAUUCCGGGGGGCAUGCCUGUUCGAGCGUCAUUUCACCACUCAAGCCUCGCUUGGUAUUGGGCAACGCGGUCCGCCGCGUGCCUCAAAUCGUCCGGCUGGGUCUUCUGUCCCCUAAGCGUUGUGGAAACUAUUCGCUAAAGGGUGUUCGGGAGGCUACGCCGUAAAACAACCCCAUUUCUAAGGUUGACCUCGGAUCAGGUAGGGAUACCCGCUGAACUUAAGCAUAUCAAUAAGCGGAGGAAAAGAAACCAACAGGGAUUGCUCUAGUAACGGCGAGUGAAGCAGCAAUAGCUCAAAUUUGAAAUCUGGCGUCUUCGACGUCCGAGUUGUAAUCGUAGAGGAUGCUUCCGAGUGGCCACCGACCUGUUGCCAAUAACUUUUACGCACCUACCCUUG
rnacentral:rRNA from 1 species